ensembl:snRNA U6 U6 spliceosomal RNA
CUGCUCACUUUGGCAGCAUAUGUACUACAAUUGGGAUGAUACAGAGGUUAGCAUGACCCCUGUGCAAGGAUGACACACAAAUUCGUGGAACGUUCCAAAAUUUU